rnacentral:rRNA from 1 species
GACGAACGCUGGCGGCGUGCCUAAUACAUGCAAGUCGAGCGGACGGAUGGGAGCUUGCUCCCAGCCCGUCAGCGGCGGACGGGUGAGUAACACGUGGGCAACCUGCCUGUAAGACUGGGAUAACUCCGGGAAACCGGGGCUAAUACCGGAUAACUCUUUCCCUCACAUGAGGGAAAGCUGAAAGAUGGCAUCUCGCUAUCACUUACAGAUGGGCCCGCGGCGCAUUAGCUAGUUGGUGAGGUAACGGCUCACCAAGGCGACGAUGCGUAGCCGACCUGAGAGGGUGAUCGGCCACACUGGAACUGAGACACGGCCCAGACUCCUACGGGAGGCAGCAGUAGGGAAUCUUCCGCAAUGGACGAAAGUCUGACGGAGCAACGCCGCGUGAGUGAUGAAGGUUUUCGGAUCGUAAAACUCUGUUGUCAGGGAAGAACAAGUACCGGAGUAACUGCCGGUACCUUGACGGUACCUGACCAGAAAGCCACGGCUAACUACGUG